AUAUAUAUAGUCCACCUCUUCACUCCUUGCUAGCAUUAAUCUCUGGUUUUGCGAAUGCUAUGGUAGGGAGGAGGGUUAAAGCUACAAUGACAUUCAUACUUUGGUUGCUUUGGAAAGCCAGGAAUGUUCGCAUUUUCGAAGGUCAUCCAAUCUUAUCUGACAUUUUACAGUGGAAGCUGGUUCCUUGGAUUUUUACUGCAUCUCACAUUUAUCGAGAUCAAAUAGAAUACUGAUUGGAUUGCUUGUAGUGAUUUGUCCACACCCCUCGACUUCAACUCCUCUGCAUCUUUGCCCCUACCGCUCUAGCAGAUUUUACAUGUAGAUGCUCAAGAACGAGGUCUAUCAGGAGAAAACACAGUCCCUACACUCCAGCUAGAAUGGGCCGCUUCGACCUUAACUUUUAUUUUAUUAGUGUUCAGACUACUUGCUCUUCUUAUGUAUCA